rnacentral:rRNA from 1 species
AAAAACCAGGACCUACUCACACCUUCGGGUGCGGAGGGGGCCUGGCGGAGCGUGGGACCCGAACCGGUAGUAGUCAAGCGAUGGGGUGACGCAGGAAGGUAACCGGACCGUGGCGAUGGUUGUCCACGGCUAAGGAUGUGGCACGAGUGGUAGGCAAAUCCGCCGCUCACCAGUUCGGUCUGGAGUGUGAGGUCUGAUGGGGACCCCGUAGGGGGGAAGCCGGCGAUCCUAUGCUGUCGAGAAAAACCUCUAGCGAGUCAUGCGCCGCCCGUACCCCAAACCGACUCAGGUGAUCAGGUAGAGAAUACCAAGGCGAUCGAGCGAACCAUGGUUAAGGAACUCGGCAAAAUGCCCCCGUAACUUCGGGAGAAGGGGGGCCCGAUCCGUGAACCCACUAGCUGGGGGAAGCGGAGGAGGCCGCAGAGACCAGGCCCAAGCGACUGUUUACUAAAAACACAGGUCCGUGCGAAGUCGUAAGACGAUGUAUACGGACUGACUCCUGCCCGGUGCUGGAAGGUUAAGAGGACCUGUUAGGCGCAAGCCGAAGCGGAGAAUUUAAGCCCCAGUAAACGGCGGUGGUAACUAUAACCAUCCUAAGGUAGCGAAAUUCCUUGUCGGGUAAGUUCCGACCUGCACGAAUGGAGUAACGACUUGGGCGCUGUCUCAACCAUGGACUCGGCGAAAUUGCAGUACGAGUAAAGAUGCUCGUUACGCGCGGCAGGACGGAAAGACCCCGGGACCUUUACUAUAGUUUGGUAUUGGUGUUUGGCACGGCUUGUGUAGGAUAGGUGGGAGACUGUGAAAUUCGGACGCCAGUUCGGGUGGAGUCAACGCUGAAAUACCACUCUGGUCGUACUAGAUAUCUAACCUAGGUCCGUGAUCCGGAUCAGGGACAGUGCCUGAUGGGUAGUUUAACUGGGGCGGUUGCCUCCUAAAGAGUAACGGAGGCGCUCAAAGGUUCCCUCAGCCUGGUUGGCAAUCAGGUGGCGAGUGUAAGUGCACAAGGGAGCUUGACUGUGAGACUGACAUGUCGAGCAGGGACGAAAGUCGGAACUAGUGAUCCGGCGCCCACGUGUGGAAGUGGCGUCGCUCAACGGAUAAAAGGUACCCCGGGGAUAACAGGCUGAUCUUCCCCAAGAGUCCAUAUCGACGGGAUGGUUUGGCACCUCGAUGUCGGCUCGUCGCAUCCUGGGGCUGGAGUAGGUCCCAAGGGUUGGGCUGUUCGCCCAUUAAAGCGGCACGCGAGCUGGGUUUAGAACGUCGUGAGACAGUUCGGUCCCUAUCCGCCGCGCGCGCAGGAAACUUGAGAAAAGCUGUCCCUAGUACGAGAGGACCGGGAUGGACGAACCUCUGGUGUGCCAGUUGUCCCGCCAGGGGCACCGCUGGUUAGCUACGUCCGGACGUGAUAACCGCUGAACGCAUCUAAGCGGGAAGCACAUUUCAAGAUAAAGUUUCCCACAGGACAAACCUGGUAAGGCCCCCCACAGACUAUGGGGUUGAUAGGCCGGAGGUAUACAGCAGCAAUGCCCAGCCGACCGGUACUAAUAGGCCGAGGGCUUGUCCCG